UACGUAGGGGGCUAGCGUUGUCCGGAAUCAUUGGGCGUAAAGAGCGUGUAGGCGGCUUGGUAAGUCCGCUGUGAAAGUCCAGGGCUCAACCCUGGAAUGCCGGUGGAAACUGUCAGGCUCGAGUCCGGAAGAGGCGAGUGGAAUUCCUGGUGUAGCGGUGAAAUGCGCAGAUAUCAGGAGGAACACCAAUGGCGAAGGCAGCUCGCUGGGACGGUACUGACGCUGAGACGCGAAAGCGUGGGAGCGAACAGG
rnacentral:rRNA from 1 species